rnacentral:lncRNA from 1 species
GAGAAAAAUAUUUGGUCUCUAGUUGAGUACCAAUGUUUGCUACAGAAAAUUUCCAAACAAAAGGCCAAUAUAAAUAUAAAAAUUAGCUAACAUCCCAUGAAGUUAGUUUCAAUAUUUUCUUAACAAAAAUCAUAGCUAAUCAACAUCGAUCUCAAGCUAGACUAUAAUAUCAAGUUUUGCAUAACUUCCAUAGUAAAAUAAUAAUGAUCUUUUGCAUCUUCUAAGCUUGCAUCUUGACUUGUAACUUCAAUCUUCAAAAUCUGUAAAUACAAAAAUUUUGAAAAGACCAUAAGUAACUAUUGGUAUAUAUAAGGAGUAAUAUGUAAAUUUACACUAAAUUAGUUACACUGCUCAUCGCAAAAAAAAACUCUAACAUUCAGCAAAGGUUAUAUAGAAAUGUCAACAAGAUGCAAGAAUAUAAGAAAAUUAAUUAGGAAAGCUUUGAUAUGCAUUAACCAAGAAUUCAAAUCUAUUUCAAAACACAGAAAUUUGAGGACAAGAGAUAGUAAAAAAUGGAGAAAUUCUCCAUCAAGAAUGUAUGCUAUGGAUACUUUAGAGACUCUAUCAACAUCUCUUUAUAUAGAGUGCAGAUGGAUACCUGAGGUCGAAGGNNNNNNNNNNNNNNNNNNNNNNNNNNNNNNNNNNNNNNNNNNNNNNNNNNNNNNNNNNNNNNNNNNNNNNNNNNNNNNNNNNNNNNNNNNNNNNNNNNNNUGCUGUUUAAGGGCAUGGAAGAGUUGACGAACUGUGUGGACCACUAAAAACAGAGGCACCAUCUUGUUGGGAAAUAUGCCUUAGGUAAUAAAGGUCUUGAAGAGGAACUUGGACAUAAAGAUCAGGGCAGCUCUAAUUUCAUGAAAAACUUUUACAGCAUCAACUACUUCUAGAUUUCUUUUUAAACUUUGUUGCUACUCUUGUAAUAAACAGUUGCAAUUUAUUGGUAGUAGGUACUCUUUCGAGUCUAGAACAGGUUGUUAUGUUGUCUGCUUUGAGAUGGAAGUCAUGCCUUUUUAUGGGGAAAAAAAUGUAGAGGAGAGUAUGCAUUGAUUCAAGAGAAGACAAUAGAGGCAAUUCCGAAAGGAACUAGUAGCAGCAUGCUAGAGGUCUGAUAUUGGAUAAUAUUCAUAGAAUGGUAUUAUUCAUCUCACUAGAUGCUCUUAAAUUAUAAAAGUACUGAAAAAAGACUUCAAGUGUUUCCUAUCAGAACUUCAAGUAUAAAAUUUGAAAUCUGAUCCAAAUUUGUUCAUGACUAAAAUUAUUAUGGUUUCCUCGUAGUCGUAGAGUUUCCUAUCAGAACUUCUAUUGUCCAGUUAGUAGAGUAUCACUAGUCUAAAUCGUCUAUAAUUUUCAAGUUUAUAUGUCUUGAUGUAGUAGGUUGGGAGACAAAAACAGAUUGCAUUCGAAAGUGUAUCACAAGUCUAAAAGGUUUACAGAUUGCAUUCACAGUGAUUGUAUUAAAUCCCAGAGAACCAUCAAUUGCAUUCACAAUGAAUCCUAAAACUUCCAUGUUAAAAAGAACCAUUACGUAAUAGAAAGUGCUUCCCCGAAAAUUGAGGUAGUACAGAAUGAUGAAAUCCUAGAAGGAAUGCUAUUUGACCUUUAGCUUGAUACAAGAAUUAACAUCUAACCACAAGAAUCAAAAAGAUGAAAUUGAUGAUUUGAUGGAUUCUAUAAAUUCUUUGGAAAAUGAGUUUUAUGAAGCUGUUUGUAAAGGUCAAUCGCUUGAAGUUCAGUUGCAGGAAAAUAUAAGAUAGUUGUUUUGAAGACGGAUAUCUCACGAACGUGCAAGGACACAAAAUUGUUUUCAUGUAAAAACUCGGAGCUGACUGCCAGUGCCAAGGAAACCAUAGAAGGAAAAUGUUCCAUUGAGGAGGAAUUGUUAGAGAAAAGGAAUGUUUGUGAGAACUUACAUAUUGAAAUUACCAAGUAUGAUGAUACUGUUAGCAAAAUAAGUAAUUCAAUUGAAUGUUCGUAGAGAAAUCUGAAUGGUGUUACUAGUAAGAAGGAAGACCUCCAUAGAGAAAUUCUCAUGUUCCAAAAGAAACUAGAGACAACACAAACUCUUGCGGAGGAAAGUGAAGAAAUUUCCAUAGAAGCAAAAUGGGUGGAGUUGUGCUUUAAGCUACUUUCUUCAGUUACUAACCUCUGAUGUUUUUUUAUUUUUUCAUUUUUUCCGGCUCCCCAUUUUCUUACAACAAUAUUCUAUUCAUGUUAGGUGGCCGAGAUAGCAAAACUCCAGGCUGAUGAGAAAGAAGAGGAGGUUAAAUUAUUUGAGAGGUUUGUUGAAGAACUAAAAUGCAUAGUGAAUGUACUGGAUAAGGAGAUACUCAUUCUUGGCCAAGCUAAAUGUAUUUAUCUAUAUAUUUAUCAUUGAAUAAUCUGACUUAACUUUUCACAGGAGAGGCUGAGCAACAACAGUUACAAAGAAAGAGGCUAGAAAUGGAACUUCAUGCCAUCAAGCAACAAAUGAACUUCAUGAUUGAAAUUCCUAAUUUAUUCACGUUAGUACGCAGGUGGAUAGAAAUCUCUUAGGAAUUAGUGGCAUGUUACUACGUACCUGGAUCAGUUUUAACAAUUUCACCACUUUUACCGCCUUCUCUGUUAGCCUUAAAAGUUGAACAAUAGUUCACUUGUUACUCAAGAUGGAUUUCUCAAGCUUAAUACAACUUGCUCUAUCUUCUAUCAGAACAUUAUUUUAGCUCAUUGAGCUGCGAGUUCCUCUGUUCAAGAAAGGUUCAUUGUUCUCUUACUAUUAUAGAACACUAAGUUCUCCUACGAUUGAUCCCCUUCAUUGUUGGGAUCUUAUCACACGACAAAUUUAAAUCUAUUUUAAAAUACACAAGAAGUUAUCUAAGAGAAGAACAGUAACCUGAACAAGAAGAGUCACUCAAACAAGAAGACUAACUCGAACAAGAAGAGUAACUCGAAGAAACAAACAACACACCUAAUUAGAGAAUAAAUAGAAAUCAACUCGCAUUUAAUACAACUCUCUCAAUCGUCUCUUAAACACUAUUUUAGUUCAUUUAGCUGCGAGUUCUUCUGUUCAAGAACGGUUAUGAAGAUCCCCUUCAUAUUUUGGAUCUUAUCACACCACAAACUUUAAUAUAUUUUUAAAACAUGACUAGCUAGUAUAGAAGAAAAAGAGUAAAUCAAACAAGAAGGGUUAUAAAUCGCACAAAACAAACAACAAAUCAUAUUUAGAGAUGAAAAAAAUCAACUCGCGAAGGUGCACAUACCUAAGAUUCGAGUAAGAUAGAAAACAGAGAUUGAGUUGAGAUCGCUUUUAGGCAGACCUGUGCUUUUUCUAUUUUGAGAAAACACAGAAAAAUCGUUGAGAGCUAUAAUCUACGCUGAGAUUGCUGCUAGGCAGAUGCUGCUAGGGUUUUCUGAUUCGGGACACUGUUUUGAAAAACAAAGCGUCUUUUGUUUUUGUUUUUUUAGAAUUUUAGUUACACUACUUAUGUUUUGG